rnacentral:rRNA from 1 species
UCGCCUGUUUAUCAAAAACAUAGCUUUAUGUUACAUAUAUAUAAGGUAAUACCUGCCCAGUGAUAUAUUUAACGGCCGCAGUACUUUGACUGUGCUAAGGUAGCAUAAUAAAUUGGCUUUUAAUUGGAGUCUAGAAUGAAUGGAUAAAUGAAUAAAAACUUUUUCAAUUUAAUUUAUAAAAAAUUACUUAAAAGGUGAAAAUUCCUUUUAUAAUUAAAAUAGACGAGAAGACCCUAGGAGUUUUUUAUUUUGUUGGGGCGACAUUACAGCAAUAUUAACCUGUAAUAGAAAAAAAACAAUUUACAGAUUUUAUUAAUAAAAAUUAAACUACCCUAGGGAUAACAGCAUAAUUUAAAUUAAGUUUGUGACCUCGAUGUUGGAUUAGGGAAAUUUAAUAUUAACUAUAUUAAAGUUUUGUUCUGUUCGAACAAUUUUCCCUACAUGAUCUGAGUUCAAACCGG